ACCCCUUUGGUGUAGUGGUUAACAUAGCGGAUUCUCAGUGACACGGCUUCCGUUGCCCGGGGUUCGAUUCCCCGAAGGGGUG